AGUGUUUAGGCCCAGCCUCCUCGGGGCGGGGGAGGGGAGUGGGAGCCGCCGCCGCCGCCCCAGGGGGCGCCCAGGGAACUCAGCCCAGCGGGCGGGGGGCGCUGUGGAGAGCACCUCUCUGGGGGUGGCGGGGCGCCGCCCCCCGGCGCAGGGCUGCCAGCCACGUUGCAGCGCAGCCCCAUCUGCCAGAGAGGAUCCCGCCCCCGGAGCAGCAGCGUCUGACCGCAGCCCUCGGGGGAGUAAAAAUACUUGGGGGGGGAAGACAGCUGGAGAUACCAGAGUGCCCACCCCCCAGCGCAGCUGGGAGCCUGGCCCCAGCCUCAUCUCUCCUUCCCACCCUUAAUGUUUCUGUCUGGAGUGCUGCAGGUCGCGGGCUGUCAGAGAGAAGGUGGGCGAGACCAAUGAAGAACUUCAACCUCAUUUUCAGUGAACUAAUUGACAUGCGAGUAAACUGGUACAACAGGAAGAUAAAAACCUACUGGAAUUAAUCAGUGAUCUGUUUUUAAGGUGAAAAACAUGACACUUGGUGUAGUAGGAGAAAAUAUAAUAGACAUCUGUCCCUGUGAUUGAAAAACAGAAGUGAGACCAUAGGAGUACAGUCUAAAAAGGUUGGAAUCUGCUGUAUAAGAAAUCCCACAUCUGAAUAUCUUCUAAUUAUCUCUCAUCUUGAACUAAGACUCUCACUACAAUGUCCUAUGGGAUAAUAAAACAUAAAGGCUGCUAGAAGUAACAGACUAAUCUAUAGAAAUUUCAUUUUGAAGCAUUUUAGGUUUAUGCUAGGAAUUGAAGACAGCACUAGCCAUGCUAAUGGGACUUAAACACCACUCUUAGGAAACAUGACUUUGUUUAACCAAUAGGCAAAAAUGUAAAUAUCACUAAUGGUUUAGCUUGUGUCAUAUGAAAUGCUUUGAAAUUGUAGAUAAAGCUGCCAUAUAAUUUAAACAGCAAACUAAUUGAAUUUAUUCAUACUAGGGCUGUCAAGCGAUUAAAAAAUUAAUCACGCUGUUGAACAGUAAUAGAAUGCUAUUUACAUAUUUUUUGAUGUUUUCUACAUUUGCAAAUAUACUUAUUUCAAUUAUAACACAAAGUUUAUAGUGCUCACCUUACAUUUUUGAUAAGUACUUCUACUGUAAAGACAAUAGUAUUUUUCAAUUCACUGAAUAUUACUGUAGUGCAAUCUCUUUAUAAUGAAACUGACAAAUGCUUGAAUUAUGUACAAAAAAAGUUGCAUUCAAAAAUUUUUUAAAAAAAAGUAAA